GACGAACCGUACGAACGUUAUUCGGAAUUACUGGGCUUAAAGGGUUUGUAGGCUGGCCUUUGUAAAGGUCAGGUGUGGAAAUCCCUCGGCUCAACCGAGGAAUGGACGGCUUGAUACUGCAAGGCUUGAGGGAGACAGGGGUAAGCGGAACUGAUGGUGGAGCGGUGAAAUGCGUUGAUAUCAUCAGGAACACCGGUGGCGAAAGCGGCUUACUGGGUCUCUUCUGACGCUGAGGAACGAAAGCUAGGGGAGCGAACGGG
rnacentral:rRNA from 1 species